CCUACGGGUGGCAGCAGUGGGGAAUAUUGGACAAUGGGCGAAAGCCUGAUCCAGCCAUGCCGCGUGUGUGAAGAAGGCCUUCGGGUUGUAAAGCACUUUCAGUGGGGAAGAAAGCCUUGGGGCUAAUACCCUCGAGGAAGGACAUCACCCACAGAAGAAGCACCGGCUAACUCCGUGCCAGCAGCCGCGGUAAUACGGAGGGUGCGAGCGUUAAUCGGAAUUACUGGGCGUAAAGCGCGCGUAGGCGGUCUGAUAAGCCGGUUGUGAAAGCCCCGGGCUCAACCUGGGAACGGCACCCGGAACUGUCAGGCUAGAGUGCAGGAGAGGAAGGUAGAAUUCCCGGUGUAGCGGUGAAAUGCGUAGAGAUCGGGAGGAAUACCAGUGGCGAAGGCGGCCUUCUGGACUGACACUGACGCUGAGGUGCGAAAGCGUGGGUAGCAAACAGGAUUAGAUACCCCUGUAGUC
rnacentral:rRNA from 1 species